ensembl:ncRNA R04B3.7 ncRNA
AACCCGUGGGGGCAAAGUGGUCACACAAGUAAGAAACCGCGCCCCGUUUUCGUGUCUGUCGUGUGUCCCGCUAUCCGUCCGGCGGGUCUAGUCCGUCUUUCCUGCUCCUUAUUUGUGACGAAUUGUCAGAAGGAAGAAAAC